CACGUAGGGGGCGAGCGUUGUCCGGAUUUAUUGGGCGUAAAGAGCUCGUAGGCGGCUUGUCGCGUCGACUGUGAAAACUCGGGGCUCAACUCCGAGCUUGCAGUCGAUACGGGCAGGCUAGAGUUCGGUAGGGGAGACUGGAAUUCCUGGUGUAGCGGUGAAAUGCGCAGAUAUCAGGAGGAACACCGGUGGCGAAGGCGGGUCUCUGGGCCGUAACUGACGCUGAGGAGCGAAAGCAUGGGGAGCGAACAGG
rnacentral:rRNA from 1 species